AAUUUGUUCGGGUUGUGGUACGAAACCUAACAGGUUUUCAAAACCUGUUAGGUUUGCUGCGUUCAAAUUUGCUACUUUUUC
rnacentral:tRNA from 1 species